rnacentral:tRNA from 1 species
AUCUCUCGAAAUCGGUAGACGCUACGGACUUAAAAUCCGUUGGCUUUAUUGACCGUGAGGGUUCAAGUCCCUCUACCCCCA